rnacentral:rRNA from 1 species
GAUGAACGCUGGCGGCGUGCCUAAUACAUGCAAGUCGAGCGAACAGACGAGGAGCUUGCUCCUUCGACGUUAGCGGCGGACGGGUGAGUAACACGUAGGUAACCUACCUAUAAGACUGGGAUAACUUCGGGAAACCGGAGCUAAUACCGGAUAAUAUUUCGAACCGCAUGGUUCGAUAGUGAAAGAUGGCUUUGCUAUCACUUAUAGAUGGACCUGCGCCGUAUUAGCUAGUUGGUAAGGUAACGGCUUACCAAGGCAACGAUACGUAGCCGACCUGAGAGGGUGAUCGGCCACACUGGAACUGAGACACGGUCCAGACUCCUACGGGAGGCAGCAGUAGGGAAUCUUCCGCAAUGGGCGAAAGCCUGACGGAGCAACGCCGCGUGAGUGAUGAAGGUCUUCGGAUCGUAAAACUCUGUUAUUAGGGAAGAACAAACGUGUAAGCAACUGUGCACGUCUUGACGGUACCUAAUCAGAAAGCCACGGCUAACUACGUG